GAAAUGCGAUAAGUAGUGUGAAUUGCAGAAUUCAGUGAAUCAUCGAAUCUUUGAACGCACAUUGCGCCCCUUGGUAUUCCAUGGGGCAUGCCUGUUCGAGCGUCAUUUGUACCCUCAAGCUCUGCUUGGUGUUGGGUGUUUGUCCCGUCUCCGCGCGUGGACUCGCCCCAAAGUGAUUGGCAGCCGGCGUACUGGUCCCGGAGCGAAGCACAUGUCGCGCAAACGAGUGCCUUGGUACGGCGGCGUCCAUAAGCCCCUCUCUCACGCUCUUGACCUCGGAUCAGGUAGGGAUACCCGCUGAACUUAAGC
rnacentral:misc_RNA from 1 species